CUGCCCAAAAGAGGGGGAUAACACUUGGAAACAGGUGCUAAUACCGCAUAACCAUAGUUACCGCAUGGUAACUAUGUAAAAGGUGGCUAUGCUACCGCUUUUGGAUGGGCCCGCGACGCAUUAGCUAGUUGGUGGGGUAAAGGCUUACCAAGGCAAUGACGCGUAGCCGAACUGAGAGGUUGAUCGGCCACAUUGGGACUGAGACACGGCCCAAACUCCUACGGGAGGCAGCAGUAGGGAAUCUUCCACAAUGGGCGAAAGCCUGAUGGAGCAACGCCGCGUGGGUGAAGAAGGUCUUCGGAUCGUAAAACCCUGUUGUUAGAGAAGAAAGUGCGUGAGAGUAACUGUUCACGUUUCGACGGUAUCUAACCAGAAAGCCACGGCUAACUACGUGCCAGCAGCCGCGGUAAUACGUAGGUGGCAAGCGUUAUCCGGAUUUAUUGGGCGUAAAGAGAACGCAGGCGGUCUUUUAAGUCUGAUGUGAAAGCCUUCGGCUUAACCGGAGUAGUGCAUUGGAAACUGGGAGACUUGAGUGCAGAAGAGGAGAGUGGAACUCCAUGUGUAGCGGUGAAAUGCGUAGAUAUAUGGAAGAACACCAGUGGCGAAAGCGGCUCUCUGGUCUGUAACUGACGCUGAGGUUCGAAAGCGUGGGUAGCAAACAGGAUUAGAUACCCUGGUAGUCCACGCCGUAAAC
rnacentral:rRNA from 1 species